rnacentral:misc_RNA from 1 species
GAUGAAGAACGUAGCGAAAUGCGAUAAGUAAUGUGAAUUGCAGAAUUCAGUGAAUCAUCGAAUCUUUGAACGCACAUUGCGCCCCCCAGUAUUCUGGCGGGCAUGCCUGUUCGAGCGUCAUUUCAACCAUCAAGCCCUGCUUGUGUUGGGGUCCUGCGGCUGCCCGCAGGCCCUGAAAACCAGUGGCGGGCUCGCUAGUCACACCGAGCGCAGUAGCACAUCUCGCUCAGGGCGUGCGGCGGGCUCCAGCCGUUAAAGCACCCACCUUUCGCAAGGUUGACCUCGGAUCAGGUAGGAAUACCCGCUGAACUUAAGCAUAUCAUAAGCGGAGGA